UGCGUAGGCGGCAUGGCAAGUCAGAUGUGAAAUCCCCGGGCUUAACUCGGGUGGUGCAUUUGAAACUGCCAGGCUUGAGUGCAGGAGAGGAAAGCGGAAUUCCUAGUGUAGCGGUGAAAUGCGUAGAUAUUAGGAGGAACACCAGUGGCGAAGGCGGCUUUCUGGACUGUAACUGACGCUGAGGCACGAAAGCGUGGGGAGCAAACA
rnacentral:rRNA from 1 species